rnacentral:tRNA from 1 species
AUCGGUGGCGAGGGUGACCCCGUGGGCCAGUACCGCCGCCAGCACGCCGUCGGCGAUGCGCAGGCCGUCGCGUU